rnacentral:lncRNA from 1 species
CCAGACUCUCUGAUCUUUUCAUUAGUUUUCUAUGUGUAAAACUUCUUAGGCUUUUGUUCGCUUUUUAGUCAAUCCUUUGGAUAAAUAAAAGUGCGGUGGCGACUCGAUUUCUUUGUAUGCUUUGCUUAUGGUUUAAUCAAUAAAUCAUAAAGUGACGAAUACACCGCUACACUCUAGCUUCCAUUUUCUCCUCUUCUUCCCAUUCUUCUUUUCUUCCCUCUGACAUAUUGUUGAGUUGGAUUGGACAUUGUAUUGGACUUCGAGAGUGAUGAAAGGUUGAAGUUGUUGACUGGUGCCUGGAGAGUGAUGAAGCUAUAUGAUUAAUGAGGUUGAAGGUGAGGUUUUGUUGAGGGUGAGAGAAAGUGAUUGGAGAGUUUUUGUGAUUUCUGCAAAAAGAGCUCAACAAUGAUGAUUGAGAGGGUGAGGGUGAAUGUGAUUAAGGGUGAAUGAAUGUGGGUUUGUGAUGAAAUGAUUGAGAGCUAGGGUGAGGAAAUAUGUUUCAACUUUUAAAAAUAAGGUUAAAUAUGUUUGUGGUCCUCCGAAAUAUUUUAAAUUUUAUUUUUAGUCCUUUAAAAUAUUUUUAUAAAG